GUCCCUAUCGUCUAGAGGCCUAGAGGCCUAGGACAUCGCCCUUUCACGGCGGUAACCGGGGUUCGAAUCCCCGUAGGGACGCCA
rnacentral:tRNA from 1 species